AAUCUCUUAGAAAUAAGAGAGUGCCUCAUUAGAGGAGCCUGGUGACAGGUGCUGCAUGGCUGUCGUCAGCUCGUGUCGUGAGAUGUUGGGCUAAGUCCCGCAACGAGCGCAACCCUUGCCUUUAGUUGCCAUCAUUAAGUUGGGCACUCUAGAGGGACUGCCGGUGUCAAACCGGAGGAAGGUGGGGAUGACGUCAAGUCCUCAUGGCCUUUAUGACCAGGGCUACACACGUACUACAAUGGCAUGUACAAAGGGCAGCCACUUCGCAAGAAGGAGCGAAUCCUUAAAACAUGUCUCAGUCCGGAUUGGAGUCUGCAACUCGACUCCAUGAAGUUGGAAUCGCUAGUAAUCGUAGAUCAGCAUGCUACGGUGAAUACGUUCCCGGGCCUUGUACACACCGCCCGUCACACCACGGGAGUUGGUUGUACCAGGAGUAGUUGAGCGAACCUUCGGGACGCAGACUACCAAGGUAUGGCUGGUAACUGGGGUGAAGUCGUAACAAGGU
rnacentral:rRNA from 1 species